UACGUAGGGUGCAAGCGUUGUCCGGAAUUAUUGGGCGUAAAGGGCUCGUAGGCGGUCUGUCACGUCGGGACUGAAAACUCGGGGCUCAACCCCGAGCCUGGUUUCGAUACGGGCAGACUAGAGGUAUGCAGGGGAGAAUGGAAUUCCUGGUGUAGCGGUGAAAUGCGCAGAUAUCAGGAGGAACACCGGUGGCGAAGGCGGUUCUCUGGGCAUUACCUGACGCUGAGGAGCGAAAGUGUGGGGAGCGAACGGG
rnacentral:rRNA from 1 species